rnacentral:rRNA from 1 species
CCUACGUGAGGCAGCAGUGGGGAAUAUUGCACAAUGGGGGAAACCCUGAUGCAGCGACGCCGCGUGAGUGAAGAAGUAUCUCGGUACGUAAAGCUCUAUCAGCAGGGAAGAUAAUGACGGUACCUGACCACUCAGCCCCGGCUAACUACGUGCCAGCAGCCGCGGUAAUACGUAGGGGGCAAGUGUUCUCCGGAUUUACUGGGUGGAAAGGGAGCGUAGACGGCAGCACAAGUCUGGAGUGAAAUCCCGGGGCUUAACCCCGGAACUGCUUUGGAAACUGUGCGGCUGGAGUGCAGGAGGGGUAAGCGGAAUGCCUAGUGUAGCGGUGAAAUGCGUAGAUAUUAGGAGGAACACCGGUGGCGAAGGCGGCUUACUGGACUGUAACUGACGUUGAGGCUCGAAAGCGUGGGGAGCAAACAGGAUUAGAUACCCUUGUAGUC